rnacentral:lncRNA from 1 species
UUAAUAUUCCUCAUUUUAAAAUUAUCUCACAAGAAAGAAAAACGAGUAAACGAGGUGGAGGGCUUCUAAUUUAUGUUCAUGAAAGUAUCUUUUAUAAUAUGAGAAACGAUUUAAGCGUCUCCGAUGGCGAUAAAGAAGUUUUAACAAUUGAACUUUUACUCGAAAAAACAAAAACCUUACUAAGCUGUUGUUAUCGACCACCUGACGGCGUGAGUGAAAACUUAAGUAUGUUUUUACAACAUAUCGUGAAUACCAGCGACGCAGAAAAAAAAAGAGCUUUGUAAUUGGGGACUUUAAUAUGAAUUGUUUUCUUUAUAACGAUGAGUAUAAAGUUAAAAAAUUUUAUGACACAAUUUUUGAAACAGGGUCUAUUAAUUAAUCGCCCUACUAGGGUAACAAUAAACUCGGCUACCCUAAUAGAUAAUAUCAUUACAACUGAUAUUUUUAAUAAAGAUAUUCAAAAAGGUAUUUUAAAAACUGAUUUAUCCGAUCAUUUUCCUAUAUUCCUUAUUAUAAACUCAAAUUUAGAAAAAAAUAUUAACACCCCUACAGUUGAAGAAAACGUGUCUUUAAACAAAAAAACUUUGAGCUAUUUAAAGAUCAACUAUCUUUGCUCCAUUGGAAUCAUAUUGAUUUUAAUGACAAUGCAAAUAACAUCUACGAAGCAUUUUAUAAAACAUUGUUUUCCGUUUACGACGCUAAUUUUCCAAUUGUUGAAAAAAUAAUAAAAAUUAACAAAAGCUCAAAAAGUCCCUGGAUUACGAAGGGAUUAAAAAAAUCGUCAAAAAUUAAACAGAAGUUGUAUAUUAAAUAUUUAAAAACAAAAACAUCUGCUAGCGAAAAAAUAUACAAAAACUACAAAUAUCUAUUUGAAAAAAUACGUAAAAACUUAAAAAGAAAUUACUACUCAGAACUAAUUAAUAAAUUUAAAAACGAUUUGAAACGCACAUGGCAAAUUAUGAAAGAAAUUACUGGAAAACAAAAAUCGUGCUUAGGUUUUCUGCCGCAGAUGAUUAAAGUUGAUAACAUAAGUUUAUAUGACCCAAGAGCCAUAUCUCAUGAAUUUAAUAAAUUUUUUAUUGGGAUAGGUCCUUCCUUAUCAAAUAGGAUUUCAAAUACGACGGCUUCUUUUAAUGAUUUUCUCGUACCUAUGGAUAAUUGCAUUUGCUCUGAUGAGUUAUCUUCAGAAUUAUCUUUUGAGGAAUUUGAAGUAGCUUUGAAUUCUGUGAAAAGAAACAAAGCAACAGGAGCAGAUGAAAUUAAUUGAAACGUAAUUAUAGAUUGUUUUGAUAUAUCAAAACAUAUUCUUUUUAAAGUUUUUAGAGCUUCUAUAAAUCAAGGAAUUUUUCCAGAACAAUUAAAAGUUGCUAAAGUUACUCCUAUCUUUAAAGAAGGUGACAGAUCAAAUAUUAGCAACUAUCGACCCAUUUCUGUUCUUUCGGUAUUUUCAAAAAUUUUAGAAAGAAUAAUGUCUAAUAGAAUAUACAAACAUCUCAACAUAAAUAACUUACUGUACAACAAACAAUUUGGUUUUUAAAAAAAUAACUCAACAGAGCAUGCAAUAAUCCAGUUUGUGCAUGAAAUCUCAAAAUCUUUUGAAAAAUCACAGUAUUUGUUAGGUAUCUUCAUUGACCUAUCAAAAGCUUUCGACACGGUAGAUCAUCACAUUCUGCUUCAAAAACUUGAAUAUUAUGGAAUUAAUGGUAUUGCCUUAAAAUGGUUUAGAAGCUAUUUAACAAAAAGAAAACAAUUUGUAAUUAGUAACGACGGCUAUCAAAAUAAUUGUCUUGAUAUCGUCUGCGGUGUUCCUCAGGGUUCAAUCCUCGGGCCCCUACUUUUCUUGAUAUAUAUAAAUGAUCUGAAUAAAGCUUCUAACCUUAUAAGCCUUAUGUACGCAGAUGAUACCAAUCUAUUCCUCUCAAACAGUAAUAUAUACGAACUCUUUACUACUAUGAAUAAAGAAUUAAAACAUAUAUCAAACUGGUUUAAAUGCAAUAAGCUAACUUUAAAUAUUAAUAAAACCAAAUGGACUCUAUUCCAUUCGCAUGCAAAAAAGCGAUUUUUACCAAUAAAUUUGCCGCAACUUUUUAUUGACGAAAUUGAAAUAAAAAAUGAUUCCGUUACAAAAUUCUUAGGUGUUUAUCUCGAUGAAAUCAUCUCCUGGAAUCAACAUAUUAAUUAUAUAUCUACCAAAAUUUCAAAAAACAUUGGGAUUCUAUAUAAAGCUCGUAACUACCUAAAUAAAAAUUGCUUAAAACAACUUUAUUACUCUUUUAUCCACAGUUACAUAAUUUAUGCCAACACUGCUUGGGGGAGUACUGUAAAAAGUAAGUUAAAACUUCUUUAUCGUCGUCAAAAGCAUGCGAUCCGCAUAAUUAACUAUGCCGAUCGUUUUACACACACCAAACCUCUUUUUACUGAAAUGAGAUUGUUAAAUUUAUUUGAACUCAAUGUAUUUAAAGUUUUAUGUUUUGUAUAUCUAUGGAGAAAUAAUCAA